GACUUGGUAGCUCAGCUGGUAGAGCAUCACACUUUUAAUGUGAGGGUCCUGGGUUCGAACCCCAGCCAAGUCACGA
rnacentral:tRNA from 2 species